rnacentral:rRNA from 1 species
UUUACACAUGCAAGUCGAACGGCAGCGCGAACUUCGGUUUGGCGGCGAGUGGCGAACGGGUGGGUAAUAUAUCGGAACGUACCCAGUAGGCGGGGAUAACUACUCGAAAGAGUAGCUAAUACCGCAUACGCCCGUACGGGGAAGGGGGGGAUCGCAAGACCUCUCACUAUUGGAGUGGCCGAUAUCGGAUUAGCUAGUUGGUGGGGUAAAGGCUCACCAAGGCGACGAUCCGUAGCUGGUUUGAGAGGACGACCAGCCACACUGGGACUGAGACACGGCCCAGACUCC